CCCUUAGAUGUCCUGGGCCGCACGCGCGCUACACUGAUGCAUUCAACGAGUUUUACCUUGGCCGAGAGGCCUGGGCAAUCUUUUAAACCUGCAUCGUGAUAGGGAUAGAUUAUUGCAAUUUUUAAUCUUGAACGAGGAAUUCCUAGUAAACGCAAAUCAUCAAUUUGCAUUGAUUACGUCCCUGCCCUUUGUACACACCGCCCGUCGCACCUACCGAUUGAAUGGUCCGGUGAAGCCUCGGGAUUGUGGCCAGUUCACUUUAUUGGGAGUUGGCUGUGAGAACUUGUCUAAACCUUAUCAUUUAGAGGAAGGUGAAGUUGUAACA
rnacentral:rRNA from 1 species